GACGAACGCUGGCGGCGUGCUUAACACAUGCAAGUCGAACGGACAGGCCCUGCUUUUGUGGGGUGCUCGAGUGGCGAACGGGUGAGUAACACGUGAGUAACCUGCCCUUGACUUUGGGAUAACUUCAGGAAACUGGGGCUAAUACCGGAUAGGAGCUCCUGCUGCAUGGUGGGGGUUGGAAAGUUUCGGCGGUUGGGGAUGGACUCGCGGCUUAUCAGCUUGUUGGUGGGGUAGUGGCUUACCAAGGCUUUGACGGGUAGCAGGCCUGAGCGGGUGACCGGCCACACUGGGACUGAGAGACGGCCCAGACUCCUACGGGAGGCAGCAGUGGGGAAUAUUGCACAAUGGGCGGAAGCCUGAUGCAGCAACGCCGCGUGCGGGAUGACGGCCUACGGGUUAUAAACCAAUUUCGCCUGUGACGAAGCGUGAGUGACGGUAAUGGGUAAAGAAGCACCGGCUAACUACGUG
rnacentral:rRNA from 1 species